CUGCCGCCUCCACGCUGGCUAGCUCUUCCUUCUGUGCUCUCUCAUGUGCGCGGCAAUGCAACCAGCGAUUUCGGCAUUCUUCUUGUUCUGGCCAAAAUAAUCUAGGAACUGGCCAUCUGGUCCAAUCAAGUACAUUAUUAUUGUGUGAUCCACCUGCAGAGUAAGAGGUGGGGGGAGGGAGAGAAAGGACAAAAAGAUUACCAAACAUGCUGCUUAUGUGACUGAGUAAACGCUACAGGAGAAGAGAAUUUCACAUGAAUGCUUCAACAACCUUUGUUACACCUGUCGUUUACAGAAUGGGUCUAAGCCUGUUAUAAUAAAUUCAUGGUGACAACUAUCCAAAGUCUUCUGUGUUCCAGAACUCCGCAAUGACUACUGCUCUAAACACAAGGAAGAGUCUGGAAUUCUCUUGGUUCCACCUGUAACAUGCGCAUCCACACAAUCUCUGAGUCUGCUCCUAAGACAUGGCUGCUACUUUAGGAAGAACCUGCAGCUCCUUACUCCUAAAUGCUGCUGACCACUUUUUAUUGAGAAGAAUACAGAAAACUAACUACUGCUGUUAAGUAUAUAAUAUAAAUUCUAGCACAGUGUUUAGUCUUGAUAUCAGUGAUUCAAAGGGAAAUGUGGAAACAAGGGUUUUUCUCCCCUAAGAAAUUCGUAUACACUAUGCUGAAUGAUCCUAUCAGAAGCAGAUCAUCUGGAAACUAACUCCUCAGGCUGUAAAUGCUACCCCUCCGAGGAGUCAUCUUCAAUUUAUUAUCUAUUUUCCAGGCAGAGUUCUGAAAACAUUCCUAACUCUGAGGCUUAGAUUAGUCAUCAAUUUUUUAAUUUAUGUGCUUCUACCAAAUCCAAUUUUAAAUGAGAAGACUUGGCGCCUAGAGUCCUUGGAAUUUAUUUCGGGCUUGAUUGCUAUUUGGCAAGACAAAAAGGAAGACAGAAAUGUGAUCACACAUACCAAGCUGGCGACACCCCCCAAAGAUGCCCGCCACACAUUAUAGGACUAUCUUAUGACUGAAUACAAAUCUCAGCACCCAAAUGCAUGUUCAUGGUUAUGAUCUCAGGGCACCUAGCUGUCACUGUUGGUUACAGGCAGAAACCAUGAAAAUGAUGUGCUCUGGCUGAGUCAAGACCAACCAGUCAAGGUAGACCACACAACCCAGUGUUUCCAAGUAUUUUACCAGCACAUGAAGGCCAGCUGACAGUAUCGUUGAGCAUCUGAUAGACUCUUAUGAUUAAUCGCUUUGCCCAACCAAUGUUACAGAGAAACCAGAGCCUGACAGGGAAGAUACGAAAGUACUACUGCAAGGCCAACUAUUAAUGGACAGGAAGAAAUGUCCAGAUUGAGAAGAAAACUGGGUGGGCGGGGUGGUCCUGAUGCCCUCUGCUGGUGUUUCACAGUGACAGCACAGAAUUCUUAUCCAUUCCAAAAAUGCAGUUCCCCACAUUCCCCAUGGCCUCACACUGCUUCUUCUGCCUCCUCCCUGGGACAUGUGGAGAACCUACACGAUGUUUUGAACCCAAAUAAGCUUUGUCCCCAAACAAUGGCUUCUCUUUAUUUCCAACAUGGUAU